CGUUCCAUGUGUCAUCCACAAAGACCGAACCCGACUGUUAAAAAUGUAUCUUUCACUUUCUUUUUUAUCAUUUUUUAAAGAAUAUCAACAUAUAAGACACAGAUGAGAAGUAGAAAAGAAGUAAACUCCUCGUAUAGUAAGGAUAUUAAAUUCUUCUGAUGUGUAAACCUCUUUAUAGUACCACAUGUAUGAGUUGUGUCUUGUUUGGUUUGCUUUUUAUAUACCAGCAUUCAAUAUUGGAUACAUUGUCAAAUGCCCAUUUCCAAAGUAUGGUGCCUACUGCCAGUCUAUAUGCGCGUGUAACCCAACCGAGUCUCAUCAUGUUUAUGGAUGUCCCGAAGUAAAUAAAGUUCUAGGAAAUGGUUGUCCACAUGGGUUUUAUGGACCGUCCUGUAGUCUACCUUGCCGGUAUCCUAAUUACGGCGCUGAUUGUCAAAUGGAAUGUAAAUGUGACAAAAGUAUUUGUGAUAAUAUAUUUGGUUGCAAGGACGUUCUCUGUGAUGAAGAGAUGCUAGGGAGAACUAAUUUUAAAAACCCCAGAAGAUCCAGUCUACUCCACGGCACGAUAGGAAUGGUGUGUGUGGCAUUUAUUCUCUUCUCUUUGUACUGCUUAUUGGUUGUUAAAACAUUUCAGAGAGAAAAAGAAAGACCAUCGGUACUAUAACAUGAUUUAUUCUAAUAUAUUGACUAUAAUGUAAUGGGUUGUGUAUUAAAGCAAAAUAGGUCUAAAACAUUAUUUUUUCAAGUUGUGGAAGAUGGAAAAUUAUUACACUGUGUAUAGUAAAUUAUUAUGUCAUUACGGGUAAUCUGUUGGGCGAACUGUACGUGUGUAUGAAGUUUGUAACAGGUUUUGAUAAUGAUUAGUUUUAUAUUUAAAACAAACUACAAAACAAAAACCAACAUAUAGUAUGAUAUUCUGAGAUA